GGCCUGUUAGCUCAGCUGGUUAGAGCGUGGUGCUAAUAUCGCCAAGGUCGUGGGUUCGAUCCCCACAUGGGCCA
rnacentral:tRNA from 1 species